rnacentral:lncRNA from 1 species
UAUCCACUACACAAUAUUGCAAAUUUGUUUUGGGGUUAAAUAGGUUAUUCUGAGAUGUGCUCACCACCAGUUAUGCCACUCUCUAAAAUAGUGAGCAGGAGCCAAAUCAUGAAGAAUACUAAAUGUCAUUCCUUAGAAUAUUUGAAAACCAUUUGUAAGAGAGAAUUAUUUAAAACAAAUCUUUUCUCUCUUGGGCAUAAACAUUUUCCUGC